UUCUGGAGGACUAGUGGUUAGGCCGCAGUGCUCUGACCGCCACAGCCCAGCUUCAACUCCUGGCCUGGAAG